AACAACAACAACAACAACAACUAAAAAAGAACGAUGAUUAUGGACUUCCCGCAGUGGUUUCCGCCGCAGAGAAGGGCCUGCGGUUCAGCUUCAUGGAGGAGCUCAUGGAACGCGCGAGAAAUUGCGACGCCAUCGGCGUAUCGGACGUCAUUUACGAUAUGGUUGCUGCAGGGUUGAGCCCUGGCCCUCGCUCCUUUCACGGUCUCAUUGUUGCUUACUCUCUCAGUGGCAACCUUGAAGGCGCGAUGCAAUCGUUGAGAAGAGAGUUGAGUGCAGGAAUUCGUCCUCUCCACGAAACUUUUAUCGCUCUGAUUCGUUUGUUUGGCACCAAAGGCCAUGCUAAUAGAGGCUUAGAGAUCCUUGCUGCAAUGGAGAAGUUAAACUACGAUAUUCGCUUGGCAUGGAUUGUUCUUGUCGAGGAGCUUGUUAAGAAUAAGUAUUUGGAAGAUGCCAAUAAAGUGUUUUUGAAGGGCGCCAAAGGUGGACUAAGGGCUACAGAUGAGCUCUAUGAUUGUUUGAUUGAGGAAGACUGUAAAGUUGGGGAUCAUUCUAAUGCCUUAGAAAUUGCCUAUGAAAUGGAGGCAGCUGGGCGGAUGGCAACCACUUUUCAUUUCAAUUGUCUUCUUAGUGUCCAGGCAACUUGCGGAAUACCUGAAAUAGCUUUUGCUACAUUUGAGAACAUGGAAUAUGGAGAAGAAUAUAUGAAACCUGAUACUGAGACAUAUAAUUGGGUGAUCCAAGCAUAUACUAGAGCUGAAUCCUAUGACAGGGUACAAGAUGUUGCCGAGUUGCUUGGCAUGAUGGUUGAAGACCAUAAACGUUUGCAACCUAAUGUGAGAACUUAUGCGCUGUUAGUGGAGUGUUUUACCAAGUACUGCGUAGUACGUGAAGCUAUUCGGCAUUUUCGUGCACUCAGAAAUUUUGAAGGAGGAACAAAAGUUUUACAUAAUGAUGGGAACUUUGGGGAUCCACUUUCUUUACAUCUUCGGGCUUUAUGCCGAGAAGGUAGGGUUGUCGAGUUGCUGGAAGCUUUAGAAGCUAUGGCCAGAGAUAAUCAACCUAUUCCACCAAGAGCCAUGAUAUUGAGCAGAAAAUAUCGAACAUUAGUUAGCUCGUGGAUCGAGCCAUUGCAAGAAGAAGCUGAACUUGGAUACGAGAUUGAUUAUGUUGCUAGGUAUAUUGCAGAAGGUGGGCUUACUGGUGAGCGCAAGCGAUGGGUGCCUCGAAGGGGGAAAGCUCCUCUAGAUCCUGAUGCUGUUGGCUUUAUAUAUUCAAAUCCAAUGGAAACUUCAUUUAAACAAAGAUGUCUGGAGGAUUGGAAGACGCACCAUAGAAAGGUUUUGAAAACCUUACAGAAUGAAGGUCUUGCAGCUUUGGGAGAUGUAUCUGAAUCUGAUUAUCUAAGAGUAGAAGAGAGAUUGAAGAAAAUAAUUAAGGGUCCUGACCAGAAUGUCCUAAAGCCCAAAGCUGCUAGUAAGAUGAUAGUAUCUGAAUUAAAGGAAGAGCUAGAAGCACAAGGUUUACCAACUGAUGGAACUAGAAAUGUUCUUUACCAGCGAGUACAAAAAGCGAGGAGAAUAAACCGCUCUCGAGGUCGACCCCUCUGGGUUCCUCCUGUGGAGGAGGAAGAAGAGGAGGUUGAUGAAGAGCUGGAUGAAUUAAUUUCACGGAUAAAGCUGCAAGAAGGAAAUACAGAGUUCUGGAAGCGCCGGUUUCUUGGAGAAGGCUUGAAUGGUAAUCAUGUUAAGCCUGUCAACAUGGGUAAAUCAGAACUUCCAGAUGUGUUGGAUGAUGUUGAUGCUGUGGAAGAUGCUGAAAAAGUUGUUGAAGAAGAGGAAGCUGAUGAUGAAGAGGAGGUAGAAGUAGAAGUAGAACAAACUGAGAGCCAAGACGGAGACAGGAUUGUUAAAGACAAGGAAGUUGAAGCUAAGAAGCCACUUCAAAUGAUUGGAGUCCAAUUAUUGAAAGACUCUGAUCAAACAAUUACAAGAUCGAGAAAAUCAAAAAGAAGAUCAGCUCGAGCAUCAGUGGAGGAUGAUGAUGACGAUGACUGGUUUCCUGAGGAUAUAUUUGAGGCAUUCAGGGAGCUAAGAAAAAGAAAAAUUUUUGAUGUAGAAGAUAUGUAUACCAUAGCUGAUGCUUGGGGUUGGACAUGGGAGAGAGAAAUAAAGAACAGGCCUCCACGGAAAUGGUCACAAGAAUGGGAAGUUGAGUUGGCAAUUGAAGUAAUGCUGAAGGUAAUAGAAUUGGGGGGAACACCCACCAUUGGGGACUGUGCCAUGAUAUUGAGCUCAGCUAUACGGGCUCCUAUGCCUUCAGCUUUCUUGAAAAUCCUGCAGACAACACAUAGUCUAGGUUAUGCAUUUGGGAGGUAGGAUCCUGCACACUGAUUCAAUAUAAAAAUGAAAACAGAUUGCACAUUGGCUUUUUGUGAUUUAAAAAUUAUGUCAAAUGAAGUGUUCUUUCAUUUAUCCUUAGUACCAAGGUCCUUUACACCUGGUCUACGAGUUCAGUUUUGGUCUAGAGGGUCACAUUAUAUCAUUUAUUUUACCCAGAGAAAGUAUAAAAAAGGACAAUAUUGGCCCUUUUUUUUACAUCCCUAUCAAAAAUACUUUGGCAAUGAACUGAAUGUCUUUCCAAAAAUUAUUUUAUUUAACAUGUAAUCGGGUUAUCUUCUGUCGCAGUCCUCUUUAUGAUGAAGUAAUCACCUUGUGUAUCGACCUUGGGGAACUAGAUGCAGCAAUUGCCAUUGUUGCAGACUUGGAGACUGCUGGAAUCACUGUCCCUGACCAAACACUUGACAAGGUGAUUUCUGCUAGACAGGCGACUGACAAUGCCAAUGCCGACGCCGAUGCCGAUGCCGAAGCCGAUGCCGACACCAAUGCCAAUGCCAAUGCCAAUGCCGAUGAUGAGACAUCAUCAUAUUCAUAGCUAAAGUUGCUCAUAUGCUUCCAUCUUCCUAUUGACUAUUGUAGAUUUUGGCGGCCAACAGUUUUCUUGACCGAAAGAUUCUGUGUCGGAGGUGAAUUUAGGUAGUUGAAGAGCGAGUGUAAAAUUAUCUCAUAAGUCCAUCAAAAUAAAAUAUUCAAAAAAAUGUAUUAAAAGAAGUAAAAUAACUUAAACUAUGAUAACUGCCUAGUUAUUAUUAUUAUUAUCAUUAUUA
rnacentral:misc_RNA from 1 species